rnacentral:pre_miRNA from 1 species
UUAACUCAAAUUUAUAUAGAGGUGGAACGUUUGCCUACGUUUGCUGCUUGCUAGGCGCGCUGUUCCGGCUGCAUACAAAUUUGAGUUA